GUGAGGAAUAUUGGUCAAUGGGCGAAAGCCUGAACCAGCAACGCCGCGUGAGGGAUGAAGGCCUUCGGGUUGUAAACCUCUUUUCUGGGAGAAGAGACAAGGACGGUAUCCCAGGAAUAAGUCUCGGCUAACUACGUGCCAGCAGCCGCGGUAAAACGUAGGAGGCAAGCGUUAUCCGGAUUUACUGGGCGUAAAGCGCACGCAGGCGGCUGCGUAAGUCGGACGUGAAAGCUCCUGGCUCAACUGGGAGAGGUCGUUCGAAACUGCGCGGCUUGAGGUUGGGAGAGGGGAGCGGAAUUCCCGGUGUAGUGGUGGAAUGCGUAGAUAUCGGGAGGAACACCAGUGGCGAAAGCGGCUCCCUGGCCCAUACCUGACGCUCAGGUGCGAAAGCGUGGGUAGCGAACGGGAUUAGAAACCCCAGUAGUCC
rnacentral:rRNA from 1 species